rnacentral:lncRNA from 11 species
UUGAAAAUUAACAGUGUAUUUUUAAUUACAAAAAUGAUGUACAGGCACUGAAAGAGUUAAAAUGAUGCAAUGACUAAGAAAAACCAGUAGGGUAAUAUAAGCAGGUGUGCCUGUGAGUAACUCGCUCCUCCUGUGUGAAGACUUCUUUCUGUGUGAAGAUUGAGAGACAGAAGCCCAACUUGAAGGCAAGAAGCUGAAGCAAAGAUAUAACAAGGAAGAAUCUCUUAAGUCCUUUGGGGCAAUUUAUGGUCAACUGUAGUCAAUGUCCACUGGAGUGGUGUUCUCUCAGGCAGAAACAUAAAACAGAAGAAGAAGAACAAGAAAAAUACUUUAAAAUUCUUAUCUAAAAUGCACUUAGCAUCCUGCUAAAAGUACUCACAAAGUUGGUCCUUUCAGGAAAUGGAAAAUCUAGAAAGCCUGUGAAGAAGAUAGUAAACUCAAGACCCAAUUAGUAGUAUAAUAAAUGUAAACAAGCAAGCAACAUUAAAGAAAGAUACAUUAUUGAUAAUAAAAUCCGAUGUCU